rnacentral:misc_RNA from 1 species
GACGACGCUUGUGGCCUUCGAGUCCUGAAACCUCCCUCGACGCGAGGCUUCCCUUGUAGGAAGCCCCGCCCUUUAGGGCGGGUGAGGAUGUCACUGAUAGAGGGAAC